UACUAUUUAUAGGGAACAGAGCAAACCAAUUGUCAAAAUAUCUCUGAAACUGUCACGUUAGUUAAUAUGGGUAGCCCUAAAUCAUGUCGGGAGGUAAAACGGUACCCUAUAGUCUGCAUGGCUACGGAGCCCUAUACGGACGUCGAGAUUCACAUGACAAGAAAACAAACAAACAAAAAAUCCUGGAAGUUAUUGCCGGAACUGGCGGUCAUCCGAAAGGAGGGGGGCGUUGAGAGGUAGCUGAGCGAAACGACGUUCGGUCAAGCGACCGUCGCGAGGCUGAGUCAAGAUGAGGCCUGCGUCCUGCUGUUCCCCCGAGAGGAGAUUACCUGUGGACAUCACCACGGCGGGAAAAUGCGCCACGGAGAAAGGGAAGGUUUGGGAGAGAAAACUGCCAACGCCCCCGAUUUUUGAGUGCGCUCGUUGUUACAUCUGCUGACCACCGAGUGGCGCUGCGUGUCGUGCACGUCUGAAUAAAGGAGAGCGAUAAA